CCUACGGGAGGCAGCAGUGAGGAAUAUUGGUCAAUGGACGAGAGUCUGAACCAGCCAAGUAGCGUGAAGGAUGACUGCCCUAUGGGUUGUAAACUUCUUUUAUAUGGGAAUAAAACGUUCCACGUGUGGGAUUUUGUAUGUACCAUAUGAAUAAGGAUCGGCUAACUCCGUGCCAGCAGCCGCGGUAAUACGGAGGAUGCGAGCGUUAUCCGGAUUUAUUGGGUUUAAAGGGUGCGCAGGCGGAGGUGCAAGUCAGUGGUCAAAUUGCGGGGCUCAACCCCGUACUGCCGUUGAAACUGCAUCCC
rnacentral:rRNA from 1 species